rnacentral:rRNA from 1 species
UAGGGAAUCUUCGGCAAUGGGGGCAACCCUGACCGAGCAACGCCGCGUGAGUGAAGAAGGUUUUCGGAUCGUAAAGCUCUGUUGUAAGAGAAGAACGUGUGUGAGAGUGGAAAGUUCACACAGUGACGGUAACUUACCAGAAAGGGACGGCUAACUACGUGCCAGCAGCCGCGGUAAUACGUAGGUCCCGAGCGUUGUCCGGAUUUAUUGGGCGUAAAGCGAGCGCAGGCGGUUUAAUAAGUCUGAAGUUAAAGGCAGUGGCCUAACCAUUGUUCGCUUUGGAAACUGUUAAACUUGAGUGCAGAAGGGGAGAGUGGAAUUCCAUGUGUAGCGGUGAAAGGCGUAGAUAUAUGGAGGAACACCGGUGGCGAAAGCGGCUCUCUGGUCUGUAACUGACGCUGAGGCUCGAAAGCGUGGGGAGCAAACAGG